rnacentral:rRNA from 1 species
UACGGGGGGGGCAAGCGUUGUUCGGAAUUACUGGGCGUAAAGGGCCAGUAGGCGGCCAACUAAGUCGGAUGUGAAAUCCCCAGGCUUAACCUGGGAACUGCAUCCGAUACUGGAUGGCUUGAAUUCGGGAGAGGGAUGCAGAAUUCCAGGUGUAGCGGUGAAAUGCGUAGAUAUCUGGAGGAACACCGGUGGCGAAGGCGGCGACCUGGUUCAUUACUGACGCUGAGGCGCGAAAGCGUGGGGAGCAAACAGG